AGGGGUGCCGGCGGGCGGGAUGUUGUGCACGGAGGAUGGGGAGCAAAAGAAAAACAAGUUCUCCUUUUCUUGACGUUUCUGCGCCCGCCCACUUAUUAAAUUGAUGGAUUGAGGGGAAAGAACGUUGGCGCUGUUGGCGAGAGAGCGCAGCAUGCCAAGAGAGUGCUUUCGUCAGUAUCUGGCUCACAGAUUUGUAAAUUUGGUCAACGUCUCAAAAACUGAAAGCAGCAUUCUUCAGAUUUCCACUAAAGUUAUUAGUGUAAGGUGUAAGACCUUGCUUUGAAAACUAAACCUCGUGACUGGAUAUCUUGGACUGGGAACAAAAUGACGUAAAUAUGCAGAAGUUAUUGUCAAGCCUGUGAAAAGAAAAUCUAUUGUUAAACAAUACAUCACUGUAAAAAAACGUUUUGUAUCAUAUAUUUAUGUGUGUUUAGUUAAUAAAAAAUAUAAAAUUUG